CACAGCCUAACCCGUCGUUCGCAAGCUCCGCCUCUGCGAGCUUCCAUUGGCUCUCACGGGAUCCGGGCGGCAAGCAGGGGCAUGCCCAGCCCAACCCAGCCCCAGCCCAGCUACUAAGGAUGAUCCAGUGGAGGCGGGGUGUGUCAGAGAGGCGUGAGGAGGACAGGACUUUCCAGACCUGUGGUACCAGCCAGCUCACCUUGUGCUGGCCCACACGUCUGCAGGGCUUUC
rnacentral:lncRNA from 1 species